UUGCCAAUAAUAUCUAAUUGGAAUACGUUUGUAUUCUUAUUUGCCUAUCAGCGUCUGACGUGCCUAACAUCAUUGACCUAUUAGGUACCUUUGCUUUCUCCAACGGCUAUAUUUUUGCCUUGGCAUUAUUCAAAUCAUUAUUUGCCUUCCCCAACGGUCCAUUUUUCAUGUAAUAAGACACAAACCCAACGUAUUAUUGGCCCUCCCCCAUAUAUUUAUGCAUUUCAUUUUCACAUCCCUGUCUGAACUCAUACAUAUUUUUCUCUCUUUUUCGAUAAUGGACUCCUCUAGCCCCGCCAAGGUUCAACAUGUGAACAAGAAGUCCUCCGAUGAACUGCUCAGAAAGUUUGCCGAACUGGAUUCGGAUUCUGCCGAAGAGGCACCGGGAAGGAAAGAGUUGAGGGUGUCAAAGCCCGGAAAAGGAGCAGGAGAACGAGAGAAGGUGAUCAGUGUGAGAGCCCAUCAAAUGGUAGUACGAGCUUACUAGAGAGGAGGUCGCUUCUUCCUCUGGCAGUGAAAAGGAGGUCGGCAUUGUUUCGGCAACUUGGGAUUGGGAGGUCACCCUUCAGGGCAAGGGAUAACAAAUCCAUCUUGGGGAGAAUUGAGAAGACAUGGCAUAAAACCGUAGAAGGGGCCUCAAAAGUUUUUAUGGAGAAGCAUUACCACCGGCAUAAGCGUUUGAUAAAUGACAUUGUUUAGAUUGAGCUUGAGCUCUCUCUUGGGAUUUUAAAGCUUUUCGAUGUGCCUUUACUGCCUUUAGAUGGGAAGGGGAAAUGCUAGUACGCCAUUUGUACAUUGGCAUUAAAUUUCAUAUCUUUUAUUUGUAAGUAUAUUAGUAUUCAUUUCACCAAACCAAUAAGGAAUAAAUCAAGACGAUUCAGUUCUCA